AUGGGCGCAAGCCUGAUGCAGCGACGCCGCGUGGGGGAUGACGGCCUUCGGGUUGUAAACUCCUUUCGUUAGGGACGAAGCCACACCUUUUUUGGGUGUGGUGACGGUACCUUUGUUAAGAAGCACCGGCUAACUACGUGCCAGCAGCCGCGGUAAUACGUAGGGUGCGAGCGUUGUCCGGAAUUACUGGGCGUAAAGAGCUCGUAGGUGGUUUGUUGCGUCGUCUGUGAAAUUCCGGGGCUUAACUUCGGGGUGGCAGGCGAUACGGGCAUAACUAGAGUGCUGUAGGGGAGACUGGAAUUCCUGGUGUAGCGGUGGAAUGCGCAGAUAUCAGGAGGAACACCGAUGGCGAAGGCAGGUCUCUGGGCAGUAACUGACGCUGAGGAGCGAAAGCAUGGGAGCGAACAGGAUUAGAUACCCUGGUAGUCCAUGCUGUAAACGGUGGGCGUUAGGUGUGGGGACCGGUUUGGUUUCUGUGCCGUAGCUAACGCAUUAAGCGCCCCGCCUGGGGAGUACGGCCGCAAGGCUAAAACUCAAAGGAAUUGACGGGGGCCCGCACAAGCGGCGGAGCAUGUGGAUUAAUUCGAUGCAAGCGAAGAACCUUACCUGGGUUUGACAUGCACCAGACGGUUGUAGAGAUACGUACCUCC
rnacentral:rRNA from 1 species